rnacentral:lncRNA from 1 species
GCAAACCCGACCAGUAUGUCACCUACAAAAACUUUAAAUUAAUUUUUUUUAAAUAAAAUAUCCACAUAUAUUCAUGGACCAAGAUGAUGGUCCUAAAAGGCCCGAUGCCCAUAAUAACAAGCAUCCUAUGCCCAUAAUAACAAGCACGAGUCAUUACCACCAAUUACAUUACAGGGUUCUUCGAACUAGAUACUAACAUCACCAAUUUGAAGAGUAAAUCGGGCAAGGCGAUGGGCAUCAGAAAUGGUGCACAAAAUACAUGCAUAAUUCACAAGCUUGCAGCUGACGCGCUUCCUCCUCUAAAUGUUCGUCUGGUUUUGGGUUGACCAUUUCGAUACACGCAGGGUGGCUUUCUCAGCCUGCGAAGUCCAAGCAACAAAUUUGUACAAGAACGAGUAAUUCAAAUUUAGGGUUUGAAAGGGGGAACAAGUAAAUAUAUAAGAAAACAAAAAGAUAUAAUAAUCGUAAUCAUUAUGUUUAAUUAACAUACCUCCUUUUCCCAAUCACGUUGAAUUGUGAUGAUGGCUAAUAUCAAUGUUUGCAUACCGGUUCCACCAAUGAUCAUCCCACCCCAAAUACCCUGUUUUACAUCAUAUAUUAAACAAAAAAAAUGCCAAGAUAAUGUCAUUAAUCCUUGCAAAAUGUAGGAUUUAUACACCCAAUUAGGGUGUGUUAUCGAUAUGUGGUAUUUGUCCCACAAUGAUCAUUUCCCUUUCUCUUUUCCCUCCUGGCCACUAUAUAAUGAGGGAUUUGGGAAAGGAGAACAGAUACCAACAAAAACAAUUCUCUUAGCUCUAGAUAGGAGAGAUAAUGCUCUCCACUCUCAGUAAUCUUUUUCUCUCUUAGUUUAGCCUCUAGGGUAUCACCUUGGCCCUAGGAUUAGGAGGCUAUUAAGAACUACGACGGUGUGAUCCAGAAUUCAUUAAUUCCGCAAGGUAUGUCCUAUAUCAAAUUCCUUAUAUUAUUACUACAAAUUUCCAACAGUGGUAUCAGAGCCAUAGGGCUCGUUCCUCACCUUUCAAUUUGAUGUAAAUUGUGAGAACCACAGUAUCCACCAUGGUUGCAUAAACCCGAAAAAAAUCACGUUUUGAUUUGUUGCCUUUUUUGAGGAUUUCUUUUGAGAAAUAUGUUAUCCUAUGUGUGAGAAUCAUUCCCGCAAAACUUUGUGCAAAUAUGUGCCACGGUUUGAGAGAACUCACAAACCCUAGUUUUGUGAUUUCUUUAAAAUUUCAGUUUUUUUUUUUUUUCAGCCGUUUUGUGGGCUGAAUUUAGGAUACAUGGAGCUGAUUUUUCUGUAUUUUUUCUUGGGGUUUGUAGUCAGCCAUAUAAGCUUCAAAACCAUAUAAAAUACACGUCAUUUGGACGAGUAUUGAAGAAGAUAUGGCUUCGCAAACAUGCCUUAGCAAAUCUGUGAAAUCUGGGAUAUCUACAGAAAUAUUGAAGAAAACGUGAUUUUAUAUUCAGAUCUGGGAGAUCUUUUUCGUGCUAUUAGAGUCAGUUUUUAGAAUUUGUUCCUGAAAUAGAAGUUGUAGCUCAUAAUCUGGGCUUUAGUGGUAUAAGAUACGCAUUAAAUGGAUGCAUAUCGAGUGAGAUACGGUCUUGGGAACUUGGCCUUAUGAAAUUGAAAAUCUGGGAUUUUCAGAUUUCUUCAAGGAAGACAAUCUCUAAUAUUUUGAGAUAUUCAGAUUUCUUCAAGGAAGACAAUCUCUAAUAUCUUGAGAUAUUGUGUCAGCUUAAAUUACACUCUAGAUUGAGUAUUUUAAACGGGAUAUUAUAUCAUUUUAAUUGCUCAUUUUGAGACUUGAGCAUUUAAAUGGAGAAAAAAAAAAUUUUGUAGAAUAUUAUUUCAUGAUAUUAAUUCUAAUUAGGUGAUUUGAUUUUCAUAUUAUCCUGAUUAUCAAAUUAAAAUUAGAAUUACUAAGAGAUUAUCUUCUGUUAUCUCUUUAAUUAAUGUGGAUUGAUUAUUUAAGUGAUUAUCUCCUUAUCAAUUAUUUUAAAUUGAUUAUCUAAGUGAUUAUCUUCUGAGUAAUUUAUAUAUGAUUUUUAUCUAAGUGAUUAUCUUCUGAGUAAUUUAUAUAUGAUUUUUUAUUCUUCAUUAUUUAAUUAUGAAUAAUUGAAUAUUGUUGUUGGGCUUAUUAUAAGCAUGUCAUUCAGGAAAAUGAUUCACAUUUAGGAUGUUCAUUAAACAUGGAUUGGGGAUCACUAAUGGUCACCUCUUACUUGAUGUGGUAUCUAGGAAAAAUCUUUAAGGAGACUUUGGGUGUAAAAAAGGGUCAGUUUUUAAAAGCUUAGCGCUGCCACCCCUACUGAGUUUGACUUGGCCACACUUACGAAGGCCCACUUGUUGAGCCCAUUGUCUAAAACUCAAAUUUCCCAUUGAAAGGCCUAUUAUAUGCAUGAGUACUAUAUGAUUGUUUAAGCCUUUGCCCAUAAUUUUAUUUUCUUGCGCUCAAUUGGAUCUAGCAUGAAAAACAAAAUGGAAAUGUGUUUGGAAAAAUGUCUGGAUGGAUUUUUUCAAAAAUAAAUAUUUGUUUCCAAGAAAAUUAAAACUAUGAACUCAACCUAUAAUAUUGGGUGGUAAUUACGAGCGACUUAGCAGAUUUUUUUAUCGUAAUUUAUAGGAUUCAUAUUUCUUAAUUAAGACUUGCGAAACAAAUAAGAAAAAUGUGUUGUUAAUGUGUGUAUGUGUGUGUGUGUGUGUGUGUGUGUAUGAAUGUUUAUAUAUUAUUUUUGUGCAUAAUGAUAUGGCUUAAAUUAUCGAGAGUUGCAAAAUAUAUUUUUAAUGCUUAAGUAGAUAAGCACUUCUCAUGUAAUUAGAGCAAAAGGCUCCACCAAAAGUGUAAUGUUGGUUAUAAUCGAAUGACUCUAAUGCUCCUAGAAAUUGGAUACACUUUGACCCUUAAGAGAACCGAGAUCUUGAUGAGUAUUCUCAUCAAGAAUUAGCUCAAAAGUUAAGGAAGUGCCCUAGGUGGCAUAUGCUCAAAGUAGUCCAAUUAAAAAAGUCAAGAGAGAGAGAAGGAUAAAAUUGCUCAAGCAUAGUUGGUGCUAUUAAUGUUGAAGAGAAGACAUCUCACUCACAUUGGUUGAGUGAGUACUACUAAAAUCUUCAAUUUUAACUCUCUACUUAAUGAAGUAUACAUGGUACAACUUUGGCUCGUACUUCUUUUCUAGUUGUACUCAAAGCAAUUUUGGCAUAUGGGGUGAGAACUUAAAUAAAGAUAAGAUAACUUAGUUAUCUAAUUCUAUUCCUUGAAGUACUAAGCGAUUGAUCGAUCUGUUGGGAAAUAUAUGUAAGGAGAUUGUGAAUGAGUUCGCAUUCCUUAGUUUGGCUUAGAACGUUUCUUCAACAUUUCAUAAUUGAGCAAUGUUUUUGGAAUAUAUGUCCUUUUCGAUGCACCAAUAUUUGAGAAGUUAAAAAUACUUUAUAAUUUUAAGAUGACACUAUUCCUCAACUUGCAUUAAAUGUGUUUUUUUUCUUUAAAUAUAGAAUGCUAAAAGUUAGUUGAUCAAAAUGGUUAGAGAUAGGUUAUUACUCAACCCACUCGCGAAGUGAUCAACAGUACUUUGACAUUAAGUUUUGAAAAAGCCUCAUGGAAGUGCUAUUCAAAUCUAGCUCAAAUUAGUGUGCUAAUUCACUAAAAUUGCAAUUUUAUUUGAGAGCAUUAAGUAGAUGCUUCCAUGUUUUUCCUUAAAAAAAAAAAAAAAAAAAAAAAACCUUAUUAUUUUUUCCUACUAAUGAAGGACAAUUAUUCUUUAAGGGUGCGUUUGUUGCGCCGGACUGUCUCGGACUGGACUAGCUGCCGGGACUAAGCUGGACUGGCUUAGACUGGACUAAGCUGGACUAACUUAGUGAAGCGUUUGGUGCAGUCUCGGACCAAGAAGCAGGAUAAGAAAAACAGUACUGUUCACCAGAUUUGUGUUU